rnacentral:rRNA from 1 species
GAUGAACGCUGGCGGCGUGCCUAAUACAUGCAAGUCGAACGCUGGAAAUCUAUCUUGCUAGAUUGAAGGAGUGGCGAACGGGUGAGUAAUACAUAAGCAACCUACCCACUAAGACUGGGAUAAUCUCUUGAAACGGGGACUAAUACCGGAUAGGUAAUCGGAAGGCAUCUUCUGAUUAUUAAAGGUUAAAAACACUGGUGGAUGGGCUUAUGGCGCAUUAGUUAGUUGGUGAGGUAAAGGCCCACCAAGACGAUGAUGCGUAGCCGGCCUGAGAGGGUGAAAGGCCACAUUGGGACUGAGACACCGCCCAGAAUCCUACGGGAGGCAGCAGUAGGGAAUUAUCGGAAAUGGGGGAAACCCUGACCGAGCAACGCCGCGUGAGUGAUGACGGCCUUCGGGUUGUAAAGCUCUGUUGUAAGGGAAGAAAGGUAGAUAGAGAAUAUCUAAAUGACGGUAGCUUAACAGAAAGCCACGGCUAACUACGUG